CGGAGCCAGAGAGCAGUGAUUGGUCAGACCAUAGAUAAUAUAGAAGACAGCGCCCUGGCGUAUCUAGUCUAUGUGUAUCUAUGGUCGGCACGUCUGGUAGCAUCUCUGGCUGCUGUUGAUCUUGUUUUUGGAGUAAAACACGUGGAAGCUGAAUUAGUGAGGAUGACUCCUGCUCCUGUCAUCUCUAAGCUCCUCACACAUCUUUACCUGCACAUGAGGAAAAUCACUCCUGUAGAAUGCAGAUGUUCAGAGGGAGAUGAUGCCACAUCUGGUCCAGCUGAUGGAAGGUCUUGAAGUUCUCUGACUGGCCUCGACUGAAGAUGGUCGUCUCACUGGAUUUAAGAUGCACAAUGAGGGACGUCUGCAGAGAAUGAGAAAGAGUCUCACCACAUCCUGACAUGAGGAAAAAGACUUUAUUGAAGACUACAAUGAGAAAAACUAUCAGACAGCAGACGGCUGCAUUCAAGCUGAGCUCUGAACAUUUGAUCUGGAACAGGAAUUCAAUAACGGCAGCAUGAGCUUCAUUUCAGUCUGUAGCUGCUGAAUUCAUGGAUGAAUCAUCUGGCACUAGAGAAGAAGACCAUCAAACAUCCAUGUCAGCUGAUGGAGGUCCAAGAGUCUCACCAAACAAACAACCUACAGAGUGAAGACCUUGAAUCUGAUUGGACGGCCUCCUAUUCAGCCACGUUUUAGGCUGUUAGAUUGUUCCAGAUAAGACAAGUACAAGAUUCUUCAGAGCUGUUCUACCACGAGCCUGACAGGAAGAACUCCAACAGUUACUGAAUGUUCCUGUGGUCCCCUCAAGGCUACAGGAGGAGCCCUACGAGGACGAGCUGGUCCACCUGAUGGCAGCCAGUCGCUGUGGUUCAAAGCCAACAGCGACUACGUGGACUUCUACUGGACCACAUGGAGACCUUCAAACCGGACCAACAAGUUCAGCGACUCCCCGACUCGUGGGUCUGAGGACGCCGCCGAGCCUCGGUCCAGCCGGCCUCCUGUCUGUGGAUGUUUGAGUGCUGAGAGGUUUGUGGAUGCAUGUGAACGUUCUGUGUGGAAACAGCAGCUCUGGACUCAGUAACGCCAGGAAAAACCAAGAGCUCCUUUAUUUGUGACUUCCACUAAAAAACUGAUGAAAAUAAGUUUGCCAGGGUUCUGACUGAUAACAGAUUAUUAAAUAAUGAAAAUAACAGUUUAAAUAUUCCUUUAAACAAUCCUUUUAGGUCUACAUUUCCUUUACACUGACUUCUUGGAAUAUGUACAAGUAUUUUGAGUGG
ensembl:lncRNA